rnacentral:misc_RNA from 1 species
GGAACAAGUCAAUAUAUUGUGUAAUUAUUUCAAGUGUACGGACCGGACCAUACUUACCAAUUGCCAUAAUUUAUUAGACCAGUCGAUAUGUCUGUCUAAGCUAAAGCUUUAAUUCUUUUUUCUGCAUGAGUUGUGUUGCCACUUGCCAGUCGAUAUGUUUGUACAUUAUAUAAUGCUUGACAAAACUGAAUAAUACACAAGCCUUCACGGUCAUCUAAGCUUGGCAUGUUGUUCUAUGCUACAAGAUCCAGACUUGAAAGACUUCUGGAGAGCUCAUUUCGAUCUCUAAAGUUGUUGAAACCAAGUUGCACUAGCCCAAGAAACUCUUUUUUCUGGUAUCUGACCAGACCCUGAGAAACCAGACAAUGAUACACCAUCAUAACAAUAACACCAGAUCAAAUAUACACAGAAGCCAAGAAAUUGAAUCCAAGGGUGGAGAACUGCUGCAAAAGGAAGUCUGUCUGAAAGCAAGAAAUCAUCACAUGUCUAACACCCAUUUGAACCUUCCCGUUGGUGUACGAGUACAUCGGAGGUUUAAAAUGCAGUUUCAAUUAGCUUCUCCAGUACUCAUUUCGACAAUUUACCUCAGCAUGAAAUAUACAAUUAUAUAUGUAGAUCCUUCAAAGUGUCCAGCUUAUCUAAUCUCCCAUUUGAUGAAGGCAGAGCACAAUUUUCACCAGCAUUCAAGUUGACAACUCCAUUUCCAGGGGUUUUCUGUAUCUGAUGGUAAGCUGAACUUGUAGCAACUGAGCUACGAGUACCUUCAAAAUAAGUCGAGAACGGGAAGAAUUCGGCACAGCGCAAUUUCCAUCUCAAUGCAGCAUCAUGGUCACUCAAGGUUUUUUCCAGGAGUUUAUGCAGUGAAAUGCAGUCUUUCAAUUUCCAUGCCCUACCAGCUCCUCGAACUCCAUCUAUAGAAACAAGAUCAUUAACCCAGUCUUCAAUUAACUUGACAGCCACAGCCUUCCUGGUUGGUUCCAGGACAUACAUCAACUCAGCCACUGCAGCCCUGUGCAUUAAUGAUUCUUUAUGCUUUUCAAGGAAAAUGUUGUUUGCCUCAAUUAGAGAUUUCUUGUGCAACUGACUAAAGGUAGGUUGCUCGACUUCUAAGACACGCCACACAAGUUCUUCAGUUUCGGUGACUGGUGAAGGCAACCCGCCUAUUUUAUGGAAGAAUUUUAUCAAGCAGAGAUGAGAUUUUGGAUUUUCUGCAUCCAACCUCAGUAAAUGCUUUACAGCCUGCAAGGCAAGCAAGAUUUUCUGUUUCCUCAUGUUUACUUCAAAGGACAGUAAAUGUGUCUCCAAGCAAUCAGACGAGUGCUUAAGUAGCAGCUUCAGGUACUUUGUAGCCUCGGCCAGGGGAUCUUCAAUCUGAACCAACUUUUCACCGUAUGGAUCAGAAUCUACAGGCUUCACCUGGCGCUUCCCAGAUUUUGCAACACUAGUGGAACUUGGUUCCUCAGUUUUGACUUCUGCAUCUUUCUUAGCUCGGGCCUCUGCUUUCCUCAGUUUUUGCCUUAAUUUCUUUUUCUGCGAGGGAGGCAACUUAGACAUCUCGUCAUCUUCUUCAGCUGCUGACUUUGGAGGACAAUCAAACAGCCUCAGGUAGCAUCUGAUAGCACCACUUGCUGCUUUGUGAAAAUAAGCAUGUGAAUGGAGCCGAUCUUGAAAUUUCAGCAUUUCAACAUAGGCGCGUAGUGUCAUUUUCCUUAAGCAAUAAGAGUGAAAAUCAAAUUGGUCCUCUGUGAUAUCUGCAUAAUGUUUUUCCACAGCAAGAAAUUUCUUCAAGGCCCGCCCAAGCUCGCCUUGGCGCAGGUAACUUUCCCCAGAUGCCAGUUCAUACCACAUGCACUGCAUAUCGUAAAGGUUAUUCAGUUGAUCCCCUUCUUUUGUGAAUAAUAAAGCCGUUUUUUCAGCUAAUGCUACCUGAUCAGCCUGAAGCAUACGCUUAACACAUUCACUGUUAACAUAGCGAUCUGCAAGAUCCAUACACCUGGCUUCAUCGGCCAAUGAAGCAGCAGCUGAUAAGUCCCCACUAUGCUUUAAUAUGCGGCUCUUAAUAGAGUAUAAAUCUAUGACUGUAGGAGUAUGUUCUAUUGCCUCAUCAAUUUUUACAAGAGCAAUGUCAUACUGUCCACAUCUGUCAUAAUGCUGAGCCAAAUAGAACAAAAUCCACAGAAGUGUUGAAGGGGGUUCUUUUCCCUCACUCUCAGGAUAUCCACCAGUAGUCUUAAUUGAUUUCUCCAGACUCAGAACCAAUUCCCCUAGAAUAUUGGCCUUGCCAGGGUGAUUGUACAGUGGAUAAAGAUCAGAAAACAAAGAAGGAACACCUUUUGUUAGAAGAGGUCGAAUGUAGUUCUCGGCUGCGUCCCGAAACUUGCCAUCUUUGAGAAAAUCAAGUGGAAUUCUCUUUACAGCAGAUGAUCUAUUAUAUUGCUGAGCAAGUGACCUGUACAAAGCUUCGAGCCUAUCAAUUUCAUCAGAACUAUACUGUCCGUUUUCAGAAUAUAGUCCCAGGCAUCUUUGUAACCCCUCAUAGUAUCUGUAAUUGUCAGGAUUCAUUGAGAGAAGCACUCUGAACAAUCUUUCACCUUCUUCAAAGCGGUGAAGCUUCAAAAGAAGUGAAACCUCUUGCUCCUUGUAGCCCAAUUUGUCAAAAAUCUUAGACUCUCUCUUGUGCAACUCUUCAAGGGCCCUCUCAAAAAAACCACAUUCCUCUAACAGAGAGACCUUGUAUAAAAGCAUCUCCCCAUGUUCACACCGUUCAUUUUCUGGAGGAUAAUCAUCUUCAAGAGUCCCUUCAUAUGCCUCGAGGAUGUCAACAGCUUUUGACCCAUUGGAGUUUAAAUGAUGAGAAACAGCAAAGCCUAUCCAAUUCAUGCGAUGAUUUGGCUUCAGAGUGAGCAAUUGCUGUCUUGUUUCAACAAAAACCUUCCAAGUCGCGCAUUUGUGCCUGUAGAAGGGAUAGGUCUCGUAAUAUCUCAAUAUUG